rnacentral:rRNA from 1 species
AUUGAACGCUGGCGGCAUGCCUAACACAUGCAAGUCGAACGAGUGGCGGACGGGUGAGUAAUGUCUGGGAAACUGCCUGAUGGAGGGGGAUAACUACUGGAAACGGUAGCUAAUACCGCAUACCAUCGGAUGUGCCCAGGUGGGAUUAGCUGGUAGGUGGGGUAACGGCUCACCAAGGCGACGAUCACUAGCUGGACUGAGAGGAUUACCGGCCACAAUGGAACGAGUCCACGGUCCAGACACCUACGUGAGGAAGAAGUGGGGAAUAUUGCACAAUGGGCGCAAGCCUGAUGCAGCCAUGCCGCGUGUAUGAAGAAGGCCUUCGGGUUGUAAAGUACUUUCAGCGGGGAGGCGUUACCCGCAGAAGAAGCACCGGCUAACUCCGUGCCAGCAGCCGCGGUAAUAC